ensembl:lncRNA
CCUCCUCCUCCUCCUUUCUGCUUCAGAGCCACAAAAAUCCUCACCGUUUGUGUGUGAAGGUUAAAGGGGCUCUGUAUUCGUCCAUCUUUCUCUCUGUGUGUGCAUUUCUCUCUUUUUCUUUCUCCCUCUUUUUUCUUUUUCAUUUCUUUUUCCUCUCUUUCUCUGUGUACGUGUGUGUCUUUCACCCUCUCUCUCUGUAUUUCUGUGUGUUGUGUGUGUUUGUCUCUGUUUCUCUCUCUCUCUCUCUCUCUCUCUCUCUCUCUCUCUCUCUCUCUCUCAUUGCCUGAAGGUGAAACAUUGUGUGUGUGUGUGUGUUUUAAACCAGGUCACGUUAAAAAAUAGCACAGAGUCCUCAGAGCUUCAUCAGGAUCUCAUAUACAUAACCACGUAGAGAGAGAGACCGACAGACAGAGAGAGAGAGUACUGUGUGCAGUAAUCACACACACACACACACACACACAUACACACACACACACACACUCCUACUGCCAGCUGUUUUCCUCUGCUGCCCCACCUCGCUUCAUUGUGUGUGUGUGUGUGUUAUUUUUAGAGAGCUGCACUAAAGAAAUGAUGGAAUGAAUAUAGCACAAACAUAAUGUAAAGUGUGAUUAUUGUUUAUGUUGACGGCCUCUGAAUGAGUGAGUCUAGACGAUAAUCACACGCUUUCACCAGCGUCACUCUCUCUCCGUCUCUCUCUCAUCACCAUGGAUAAGGGGGCGUGGCUUACAUGAUUGACAAGCCGUCAAAAUCCAUUACUGUGCUUGUCUAUCUGACACAAACGGCUGUUAACACUCGGCGAGAGAAAAAUAAACAGAUGGCAAUAAAGCUCUGUGUUAUGUUCAGUCUGCGAUUAUAAAAAGUCCUGGAUGAGUGUUUACGAGUAAAGUGACUCAGGAGUGACUCGAUAUCGGCCUGUAACCUCGACUCGGCUGUGAUUCAAACAGAAACAGUGAAACGUACCUGAAUUACCUACAAGCUGCUCGUAUUUAAAAAGUGAUGAUUCAUUAAAUCUAAUUAAAGAGUGACUCAUGAAUCAUAUAGACCUGAAGCUUUCCUCUUAUCAGAUUAUCAAGCUCUUAUAAAGACCAUGAUCAGAUUAUUGCCAGAAUUAGAUUUUUUUUUUUUUUUUUUGCAGUUAUCGAUUAUUUUGUAUAUUUAAACACACCCUACAUUAGAAAGAUUAUGCCCCUGUGUAGAGCAGCUAUUAACAGAGAGAUUUUAAUCAACCAAAAAAAAUAAUAAUUCAGACGAUUUGGAUCAGUGCAUCAAUUUAAAAGAUUGAUAUGACUCGAGGCAGCAAUCAUAAAUUAGAUUUUUAUUGGAAAAAGGACCUUAAGAAUCUAAUCAUAUUGUAUCAGAUUCAGUGGUAUCAUCAAAUAUCGAAUCGUUAUCUUAGGAAUCGAAUCGUAUCAGAUUCAGCGGUACCGUCAAAUAUUGAAUCGUUACCUUAGGAAUCGAAUCGUAUUAGAUUCACUGGUAUCGUCAGAUAUCGAAUCGUUACCUUAGGAAUCGAAUCGUGUCAGAUUCAGUGGUAUCAUAGAAAACUGAAUCGUUACCUUAAGAAAUGAAUCGAAUCGUAUCAGAUUCAGCGGUACCGUCAAAUAUUGAAUCGUUACCUUAAGAAAUUAAUCGAAUCGUAUCAGAUUCAGCGGUACCGUCAAAUAUUGAAUCGUUAC